AAACUUUCCACAUAUACACACACAAAUAAAGAAAAACAUGCAUAUAGACAUAGACACAUCAAUAGAGUUGGUAGAAAAACUAAGUUCCACAAAUUAUUAAUUUCUUUCUCAAAAACUUUUCAGAGCCAAGUGUUCAAAGUCAAUGAACUGAAAUAUUCUUUGAUUUUAUUUGUUGUGUAUACAGCAUUCUACCUGUCUGUACACUUGCAGGCCAGAAACGGAUACCAGAUCUUGUUAUAUACGGUUAUGAGCCAUCAUGUGUUGCUGGGAAUUGAACUCAGGACCUCUGGAAGAGCAGACAGUGUUCUUAACCACUGAGCCAUCUCUCCAGCCCCUGAAAUAUUCUAUGAACUCCAUUCUAUCACCAGCAAAGAACUUAAAACAACAAGAAGGGAAAGAAA
rnacentral:lncRNA from 1 species